GCAGGAACUUGUGUUCCUAAAUGAAAGUGCACGUGCCUCUUCAUAUACGGCACUGAUCAAUACGAGUGCUCGUCCUUGACUUCCUGGGUGAGAGCGAGGCGUUACACGGCAGAUGUAAGCCACGUGACGUGAGGACCUCCAUGGAACCCGAACACACAAAGUAGAUGGCCUGCAGGGCGUCACCUUGCCGGAUGAGGAACUCGCCGGGGGCGCAGAAUGAUGUCUUGAUGAUGAGCGAGAGCGAGCGCAGGCACCCCCUGCUGGCCGACUCGAAGAGCGGGAGCUGGAGCAGCUCCUUGUUCAGGUGCAUGGCAAUGUCAGCCCGUAGCUCAUCAGGGAAGUCCUUCAGGAGCUGAAAAGAGACGCAGAAGUUGUCUCAUGUAGUCCAUUCAUUUGCAAUCUGGAUGCAGAGGAGGUGAAACACUACACCAAAGCCAAAAGCAGCUCAAAGGAGGUGGGGGCAUAUUUGGGGCAGCCGUGGCCCAAUGGUUAACAUCAUCGCCUGCCACCGUGGGGUACUUUGGUUCAAGACCCGACUGGACCAUCCGCCAACAUCCCCCGGACUCACGGCUGUGGUGUCCUUGAGCAAGACACCCAGGCGCUUCAGCUGCCCCCUGCUCUUGUGUGUUCCACUAACAUGUGUAUGUGUUCACUGUGAUGGGUUAA